rnacentral:rRNA from 1 species
AGUGAACGCUGGCGGUAGGCCUAACACAUGCAAGUCGAACGGCAGCACAGUAAGCGCUUGCUCUUACGGGUGGCGAGUGGCGGACGGGUGAGGCAUACAUCGGAAUCUACUUUUUCGUGGGGGAUAACGUAGGGAAACUUACGCUACUACCGCAUACGACCUACGGGUGAAAGCAGGGGAUCUUCGGACCUUGCGCGAUUGAAUGAGCCGAUGUCGGAUUAGCUAGUUGGCUGGGUAAGGGCCCACCAAGGCGACGCUCCGUAGCUGGUCUGAGAGGAUGAUCGGCCACACUGGAACUGAGACACGGUCCAGACUCCUACGGGAGGCAGCAGUGGGGAAUAUUGGACAAUGGGCGCAAGCCUGAUGCAGCCAUACCGCGUGAGUGAAGAAGGCCUUCGGAUUGUAAAGCCCUUUUGUUGGGAAAGAAAAGCAGUAGAUUAAUACCCCGCUGUUCUGACGGUACCCAAAGAAUAAGCACCGGCUAACUUCGUG